AUAUGUGAUUAUUUAUAUGAUUGUACGUAUAAAAUAUUAUUAAUUAUAAGAAAACUUAUUUGAUGGUACGUAUAAAAUAUGAUUAAUUAUAUGAUAACACAUAUUUUGUAACCUAUGAUGACACAUAUAUAAUAUAUAUAUAAUAGUGAUUGGGGAGUGGGCGUUCGAGUUCGUUUUCGGGUCUUUUUGGAAUUUCGUGUUCAGUUUAAAUCUUUGAGGAUUUGGUUCGGAUUUGGAUAACCAAUUUAAAUAUGUUUGGUUUAAAUAUUUGGAUAGAGAAUUAAUAAUUAUUUAAGUAUUUUUGAAGUUUUGAGUAUUUUUUAAUUAUUUAAGAUAUUUUACGUUUAAUUAUAUCCAAAUAUUUUCAAGCUCCAAAAACCGAAUAUAUAUAUUGAAACACUUUUUCUUUUAAAAUGCAUUGCAGUUAAUAAUAAUAAAAUAUCUACUUAUACUUAUAUAUAUAUGCUUUUGUUAUUAUUAGUAGCGCUACACAAUUGUUCUGUAUGUUUGCCAUUCUAACCAAUGUGUUAGACCACUUCAGUGAUGAGUACAUAUCGAAGAUAUACGCUAGACUUAGGGUUCAAUCAUAAGGCUAUUUGAAAGUGAGACUUCAUGAAAUGAUUAGAUGUAUUUUUAUUACAUAAGCGUUUAAAUUUGUAUAAGAAUAUUAAGAGAUUUUGUUUCACUAUAGAUAAUAUAGAUAGUUAUGAUAUUACAAACUAUGAAAAAGAGUAUAAGAUGUUUUGAUAUCUGACAAUUUUACUUGUCUUUUGAGGAUUCACAUAUUGACUGCAACAUUUGAGCCGUUCUAUGAAAUCCACGCUUGGCUGUUUUCUUUGCAAUACUACAUAUUUCUUGUAAGUUUUUUUUAUUAACUUGCAUAAUUUUAUUUUUAGGACGAAACUUCGUAGAGUAUAAAUAUAAUGAACUCUUAGUUAAACCACUGAAUUAAGGGAGGUUCCACAAAUAUUAAGAUAUUUAUGUACUUAGUUAUUCAAUCUCUGCUGACACGAAAUUUUAUAAUAGAUACUCCUUCCGUUUCACAAAGAUAGACUUUUUAGUAUUUUCACACAUAAUAAAAAAACACAUUAAACUACCAUAAUAAAUGUAUUGUUUUCUGUAAUUUUCAAUUUUUAAUAAUUUGUAACUAAUAGUAAUUCAAUAAAGUCAAUUAAUUUUCUUGAAGUUUACAAUUUUUUUUAUAGAAAACACAAAAAAUACAUUUUUUUGAAAUAUUUGUUUUUCUAAAAAAUCUAUCAUUAAAAAACGGAGAGAGUAUAGUUUUUUUUUUUUUAACUGAGGUUAUAAUAAUAAUAAUGAUAAUAAUAAUAAUAAUAAUGUAAGGACAAAAAAGGAGGGUAUAAUUUCACUUGAUCUAAAAAAGAAUUUCAAAUAAAUAAAUAUUUAGUUGCUAAGUGAACAGGUGGGAAGAAAAAGUUAAAAGGAGAAGUUGAACCUAUUACCUCUUUUACGUAGACGUAAUUCUGUUCAAUAUGAGAAAAGUAUCAAUCGCUUGAAUUGAAAAAAUGUUUCUCUUUUUUAUUAAUUUUGAAGUAGUAUUGGCUAAGAUCAAGUGUAGUAAUCUGGAUAUGUGGAAAAUUUUAAAUUUACUUUUAAGGAAAAGUGCACCUUACAAAUUGACAGACUAUUAUAUCUUUAAAUUUGUAUAUGAGACACGAAACAUAAUUGAUUAUCGGCCUUUCAUUCCUGCUCAUUAGCUAGUAACUUUGUUUAAUUAAAUAUAAGAAGUGUCCAAGUUGAAGUCCGAUUAAUUCUGUUUCUGUGGACUGGCCUACCGAUGAUAAGCAAACAUGGUUACUUUAGAGAUCCACGCUGUCUAAGUCUAACCAUAUGUAGAACUAGUAAUUUGCAACUGAAAAUAUAUAUGAUCCAUAGUAUAGACUAACAACACAGAUUAAUUCCGUUAUGGUUUAAAAGUAAACGAAGAGUUAAUUCCGUUAUAAAUGUUUGGUUAAUGAAUUUAUUAGAAUUUUGGUUGAAGAUUAAAAUCUAUCAGAGAUAUUAACAGACAAUUUGUAAAGUGUGUGAAUUAUCCAUCAAAAAUGAUUCCUAGAUAAUUUUGUGAGUUGUUUAUAGUGAUAUUAUGAAAUACACACUUUAAAAAAAAAAUAAGCAAGUGAAAAUCCGAAAUGUUACCGUUAUAUAAGAGCAUAGAGCAAUUUCAAUAUGUGUAACAUACUAAGAAAUUAAAAUUAGAAACUUAACAAGAUAACAAAUUAAAAUUAAUAUAUUUUAAAAUGAUGUUAGAAUAACAAAGAAUGUAUAGUAAAGAAUGACUCAUGAAUAGUGAUUAGGUUUGUCCUUCAAAUCAUAAGACCAACCGCAACAGCCGAUUUUAACUCUUCCUUAGCAAAAUAAUAUUAAGAUAUUUAGUGGGUUUCCCGUUUUAUUAAGGAUUAUGCCACAAUUAACUCUUCCAGUCCUCAUUUAGACCUCAUUUAGACUUCAUUUCUGAUAAUCUUUUCACUGUGCGCGGACUUCACUGCCGCGUGAAAGCCCGCGAUUGGCCAAUCUUUUUUUUUUUUUGUAAAUUCGGAAAAAAAAAGAAAAAAUAAUAAAAUAUUUUAAAAAGUGUUGUUAAAGAUUUUCUGUUGAGGACUUAUGAUUGUGGGUGCUCUAACAAAAAUUGGAACAACAAAAAUUUAAAUUAAACUUAAAAAUUUUCACCAAAAAAAAAAAUUAAAAUUAAAAAGGGUGCUCCUUCUGAGAUACAUACAUCCCUACGACCCUACCUAAUAUCUCAUUCAUUAAUUUUCUUCAAUUUUUUCGUAAAAAAGAUUAAUAACUAAAGUUAAAAUUCAGAUUUGCCUAUAUACGGAGACCUAAUCACGUUUACGCUUGUACGGCGACCAACACGCAAGCAAUCAAGAUUUUGGAUCGCAAAAUAUGUCUUUUUGUUCUUCAUCCACCCAACAUCGUAAAUUAUAAUAAUCUCUUACUUUCGUUAAACACAAACAAAACCAGCUACUUUCCAGAGCAUCUUGGACUUGUAGGUGAAAAAUAUUGGGAUAAUUAAAUAUAUAGGAGUACUUAACAAAAGAACAAAUUGAAAUUCCGAGGAUUUAGCUAAUAUUUACAAAUUAAUUUGUUGACAUGUGUGUACAAAUGAUCUGAUACAACGGCCAGAGAGUGUGUGUGCGCCAUGUGAAGGUGUUGGGAGGGUUUUUAAUUUGUUUCUCAACUUAAUAAAUGUCUUUGACGAUUGUAACUUCAUAUUCAAGUUUGUUCACUACAUCGAUUUAAUUGAACAUCGCAAUCCACAACCGAGUUAAGUUUAAAAAUAGAUUCUAGUUUCAUUGUCACAUUAGUUGACUGAGUAAAAAAAUACAACAAUUUAUUUAGUGUUGAUUUAGCUUCACUGAACUUUUGAUCAUGUAUAAUUUGAUGACAUGAUACAAUGUGUAUUAUUGUAUAUAUAAUUAUCAAUCCUAACAGACAUGCACUCCAACAUUUUGUAUUAUUGUUUGUUUGUUUUUAAUAACUUUUUGUAUUGUUGUGUGUAUAAAUAAAUACAUAUUUUAUAUAAGAGUAAAGUAGAAGUGGUUUCAAAUAAUUAUGCUGUAAACUCUGAUUACAAAGGUACGCAGAGACUAAACUAGGGUAGUCGUUGAAUUCGACCCGGAAUGUCCUCAUCACGAAUUUUAUUAAUUCACUAUCAAUCACUAUAUAUUUAAUUUGUUUUAGUAGUAUAUUUUAUUGUAUCUAUUUAAUUAACUUUUGUGGGGUUUGAAUACAAAGCUGAGUAAGAAUAAUCAUUCGACAAGUAAAGUUCAGGUGAGGUGUAAUCAUCUUUCUUUGUUUUCCGAACCGUAGAUGUUUUUAUCUAUGCAUGCCCCAAUGAUAUUGUUUCGUUAUGUCUACUCUGCUUUAUGCUCAAGUUGUUAGCAAACGUCAGGAAUGGGGACAAAAUACUCUUUCUGCCAAAUAUUCCCAAUUUUAUGAUUUACAAUGAAGAUAUUGAUGUUCUUUAGUUUUUGAGAAAAUGAAGAUAUUGAUGCUGUUUUACACAUACUGCGCCAGUAUACGUUUGUGAAGAUUUUCUAUAAUUGUCUUAACAGAAUAACUGGAUUAUAAAAAGAAAUUGAUGUGUGGAAAAAGGUACGUUAAAAACUUUUUUUUUUUCACGGUGUACAUUCAUCCACGUGGGUUUUAUCCACAGUCGAAAGUUUAUAAAAUUUUACCGCCUUGGCUGUUGUGUUCACCGGGAAUGUCUGAUCGGGAAGUGUAGCUCAAGAUCAAUAAGGGUGGACCUAGGUCAAGGUUGCUUUCCGUCUCGGUUUGCAGAUCAUGGAGACUUGCAAAAGGUCCUUGAUAAUAGACCUUGCAAAGUGGAUGGUCAUUCUCUUGCAAUGGGAGUCUACAAUAGAGACCUUUUUUCUCAAAUCCCCUUUUGAAUUCAAGUUCAAGGGGUCCUGGUCUACCUCUGAUCUGGAGUUAAGCUAAGAAGUAUUGGUGAAGAUCUUGGAACAUUUGAGGCGUGGGAAAUCACGGCUUCAAAAGUUCGCUUGAGAGUUUGAUGUGACAUCAACGUUGGUGUAUGAAAACUUAGAAAAGCACUGCUCCCAUUCUAAUGCUGGACCAAAGAGUCGCUACCUUCCCCUUUAUAGAGCACAAAAGAUGCCCCUUGAAAAUUAUUUUUGAUGGGUCUGAAAGUGUUCAAGAGGCUCAAGAAAAACGGCUGGUACCAGAAACUCUAACAGUCAGAUUCUCUCACGAAGAGAGCUAGAUAAAGGUUGUAUGGGGAGUAGGUGUGGUCCUAUAAGGAAACAUGAUGAUCGUGUGGAUGCUAGGCUUGAUGGAAGAUGGGAAUCUCAACCUUAUUGACAUACUAGAGGUGAUGCGUAUCAUUGUUCGGUCUCAAGGUGUUAUGACCAUAUAGUGUUGACUGGAAAAUCAUCUGAAUACCAUAAUCACUCCUCUAGAUGGGUUGAAACUGAGAGAAGAGCCGCUCAUUUGGUGGAUCCAGUUAGCAAAGACAUAGUUGAGAGAAGGGACAAAAGCCUUGCCCAAAAGGAUAUUUACUCGGAGAAACUGCGACAUAAAUUAUGGAGCCUAAAAGGCUGGUUUCAUAAUUCUCAGUAUCAAGAAUUUUAUCCCGCAUCCAAGAAGAGAACUUAAAAGAAGCUUUGAUUAAGAUAAGGAAGAGCUUAGGUAAGUUGUGAUAUAGUAUGUGAGAUGUGCUGAUCUAACGGAGAGCGUUGCGGGAAGAGAAAAAGUAAGAUUUGCUGAAGAAAAUGGAGAAAUGGAAGAGACUGCAUGCAAAGGCGACUGCUGCGGAAUUUGAAGGACAAAGCAGCAGACAUCUUACUAUGGUCCAUUCUCGUGAGCAGUACAGAUUAUGUGUAUAAAAGCUCAGGACUUGUGGAAAAUGUUGUUAUGGCAUCAAUAAGUGAAUGGGGUAUAUAUAGUCCCUGGUAAGAAAUGUCUGGACAUACCUCUAGCAAAGAAGAAAUCACCUACGCCUCAUGUUGGACUUCAAGGAUCAAGUUCAAAGAAAAGAAAGAUUGCACAAGUUCAUGGAUUUCCUAAAAGAAAAGUGACUUCUGUCACCAUCCCUUGCAGUAAGGAGAAUGUUAAAGCCUCAAGAGGUGGACAGAGUAUCCCAUGUAACGUGGAGAAAGUUCUGCUGGUGGACAGCAUACGUGUCAAAUUAUUCCAGCAACAGUGAAGAAAACAGUGGAUUUUUGGAAUCCACCAAGUUUAGUUCCUUAAAAAUUACGAAUUAGAAUUGUUAAGAUUUGGAGAAUCUCUUGACAGUUCAAAGAUGGAGGGAGAUAUAUAGACAUAUUUCUCCUGACAUAAUAUUCCUCUCAGAGAUAAAAAGUCCCGACAACUUUGUUCUCCGGCAAGCUCAGUCGGAGAUGUAUGCCAACUACUGUUUAGAAGCUCCUACGGGUCAUGGGAAUGGAUGGCUUGCAUUGUUUUGAAAAAAAAAAUGAAUUAGAGAGUGAAGUUGUUUCUCGUAUAAAAAC